GCUCUCAGAGGUGGAAAAAGUCUCAGUGCGCAGGACUCACCAGCCGUCAGGACACGCACUCUCCUCCAGGAACAGUUUUUGGUAUUUUCACCUGUUUCGAAGAGACUUUCUAAGAGGUGAUCCAGGAGAUCCAGAGCACGCCGAGCAUCGUUUACUCCGUCCAGCAGCACCUUUCUGUAGAUAUCCUUAAACCUUUGGAGCCAGCUGGUAACCCCACCAUGAGGGUUUGGAACCUGCUAUACCUGCUGCUGCUGCUCGCAGCUGCGCUCGCGCCGGUCUUCUCUGCCAGGCCAGACUUUUUGAACCUGAGGAGGAAAUACCACAGACACCACUGCCUCCACAGACGCUGCAUGCCCCUGCACUCCAGAGUCCCUUUUCCCUAAGACAAGUACAACAAUGGGCGUCUCCUCCGAAGGAAAACUUUGACGUGAACAGCGGCGUACGUGGAUGGAACCAAGUAUACAAGACCUAAAUGGAUGUAGAAGUGGGGACAUGGUAUCUGCACACGUCCUGUGGACAAGACACACAGGGGAGGGGCGUUCAAAGCCAACCUCAGAAAAGGAUUAUGGGUAAAUGAAUUGAAUCUGCCGUGAUGUUGCAGCAGCUGCUUGGCAGGUACAGGCCGACAGAAAUGCAGCCCAAAGACUGUAAAUCCCAUGAUCCUUCAGGAAAGUCCAAUGUACCCCAGACCCAAAGAGUUGUAAAUGUCUUCUUAUAAAGUGUUUUCUAAUGUAUGUAUGCACUUCAAAUGUUUAUUAAAUUACAUUUUAAGCUUUCCUAA